rnacentral:rRNA from 1 species
UACCCGCAGCACAAGUGGUGGUCAUUAUUAUUGGGCCUAAAGCGUCCGUAGCUGGCGUGUUAGAUGCCUGGGUAAAUCGAUGCGCUUAACGUAUCGAAUUCCGGGUAGACCGGCACGCUCGAGACCGGGAGAGGUGUAGGGUACUCGGGGGGGUAGGGGUAAAAUCCUGUAAUCCUCCGGGGACGACCAGUGGCGAAGGCGCUACACUAGAACGGCUCUGACAGUGAGGGACGAAGCCCUGGGGGCGCAAACCGG